AUUGAACGCUGGCGGCAGGCCUUACACAUGCAAGUCGAACGAGUGGCGGACGGGUGAGUAAUGUCUGGGAACCUGCCUGAUGGAUGGGGAUAACUACUGGAAACGGUAGCUAAUACCGCAUACCAUCAGAUGUGCCCAGAUUGGAUUAGCUUGGUGGUGGGGUAAAGGCUCACCAAGGCGACGAUCCCUAGCUGGUCUGAGAGGAUGACCAGCAAAACUGGAACUGAGACACGGUCAAGACUCCGACGGGAGGCAGCAGUGGGGAAUAUUGCACAAUGGGCGCAAGCCUGAUGCAGCCAUGCCGCGUGUAUGAAGAAGGCCUUCGGGUUGUAAAGUACUUUCAGCGGGGAGGCGUUACCUGCAGAAGAAGCACCGGCUAACUCCGGGCCAGCAGCCGCGGUAAUUC
rnacentral:rRNA from 1 species